rnacentral:misc_RNA from 1 species
GUGAAUCAUCGAAUUUUUGAACGCAAAUUGCACUCUCUUUGGAGAGUAUGCCUGUUUGAGGGUCAGCCUAUAAAAAAUCGAGAUGGUUGCUGUUUCGCGGUGAAGUUCGUCGGGGAUUGGGUCAUCUUACAUCCUUUUGGUUUUAUGCGACUUAAAAUUUUCUUUUUGGUUCAAUGAACGAUUCUAUGAUUUAUUUCUUUAUACGUUUGAGGGUAUUGAUUUUUAUUAGACGUGACCAUCAUAUCGGAU